UCAGGAUGAACGCUAGCUACAGGCUUAACACAUGCAAGUCGAGGGGCAGCAUUGGAGUAGCAAUACUCAGAUGGCGACCGGCGCACGGGUGAGUAACACGUAUCCAACCUGCCGCUUACUCGGGGAUAGCCUUUCGAAAGAAAGAUUAAUACCCGAUGGUAUAAAGAGUUCGCAUGUUCUCUUUAUUAAAGAAUUUCGGUAAGCGAUGGGGAUGCGUUCCAUUAGAUAGUUGGCGGGGUAACGGCCCACCAAGUCUACGAUGGAUAGGGGUUCUGAGAGGAAGGUCCCCCCACAUUGGAACUGAGACACGGUCCAAACUCCUACGGGAGGCAGCAGUGAGGAAUAUUGGUCAAUGGACGAGAGUCUGAACCAGCCAAAAGUAGCGUGAAGGAUGACUGCCCUAUGGGUUGUAAACUUCUUUUAUAAGGGAAUAAAGUGAGGGACGUGUCCCUUUUUGUAUGUACCUUAUGAAUAAGGAUCGGCUAACUCCGUGCCAGCCGCCGC
rnacentral:rRNA from 1 species